rnacentral:tRNA from 1 species
GUCUGGAUAGCUCAGUGGUUAGAGCGUAGGGUUGAAAACUCUUGAGUCAUGGGUUCAAAUCCCAUUCUGGACA